rnacentral:rRNA from 1 species
GAGUUUGAUCCUGGCUCAGAACGAACGCUGGCGGCGUGCCUAACACAUGCAAGUCGCACGAGAAACACAUCCUUCGGGGUGUGGAGUAAAGUGGCGCACGGGUGAGUAACACGUGGGUAACCUGCCCUUGGAACCGGGAUAACUGGCCGAAAGGCCCGCUAAUACCGGAUAAGACCACAUAAGCUUCGGCUUAUGCGGCCAAAGUCGGCCUCUCGAAGAAGCCGGCGUCUGAGGAUGGGCCCGCGGACCAUUAGCUAGUUGGUGGAGUAACGGUUCACCAAGGCUGAGAUGGUUAGCUGGUCUGAGAGGAUGAUCAGCCACACUGGAACUGAGAUACGGUCCAGACUCCUACGGGAGGCAGCAGUGAGGAAUAUUGCGCAAUGGAGGAAACUCUGACGCAGCAACGCCGCGUGGGUGAAGAAGGCUUUCGGGUUGUAAAGCCCUGUCAGGUGGGAAGAAACCUCUUUGAGUAAAUAGCUCAAGGAACUGACGGUACCACCAAAGGAAGCACCGGCUAACUCCGUG